UACAGAGGUCUCAAGCGUUGUUCGGAUUCAUUGGGCGUAAAGGGUGCGUAGGUGGCGGGGUAAGUCAGGUGUGAAAUUUCGGAGCUUAACUCCGAAACUGCAUUUGAUACUGCCUUGCUUGAGGACUGGAGAGGAGACUGGAAUUCACGGUGUAGCAGUGAAAUGCGUAGAUAUCGUGAGGAAGACCAGUGGCGAAGGCGGGUCUCUGGACAGUUCCUGACACUGAGGCACGAAGGCCAGGGGAGCAAACGGGG
rnacentral:rRNA from 1 species